rnacentral:rRNA from 1 species
ACGUGUAGCAGUGAAAUGCGUAGAGAUGUGCAGGAACACCGAUGGCGAAGGCAGCCCCCUGGGAUAACACUGACGCUCAUGCACGAAAGCGUGGGGAGCAAACAGGAUUAGAUACCCUGGUAGUCCACGCCCUAAACGAUGUCAACUGGUUGUUGGAAGGGUAACCUUUUAGUAACGAAGCCAACGCGUGAAGUUGACCGCCUGGGGAGUACGGUCGCAAGAUUAAAACUCAAAGGAAUUGACGGGGACCCGCACAAGCGGUGGAUGAUGUGGUUUAAUUCGAUGCAACGCGAAAAACCUUACCUACACUUGACAUGCCAGAAAUCCUGCAGAGAUGUGGGAGUGCCGCAAGGAAUCUGGGCACAGGUGCUGCAUGGCUGUCGUCAGCUCGUGUCGUGAGAUGUUGGGUUAAGUCCCGCAACGAGCGCAACCCUUGUCACUAGUUGCUACAUUUAGUUGGGCACUCUAGUGAGACUGCCGGUGACAAACCGGAGGAAGGUGGCGAUGACGUCAAGUCCUCAUGGCCCUUAUGUGUAGGGCUACACACGUCAUACAAUGGUCGGUACAGAGGGUUGCCAACCCGCGAGGGGGAGCUAAUCUCACAAAGCCGAUCGUAGUCCGGAUCGCAGUCUGCAACUCGACUGCAUGAAGUCGGAAUCGCUAGUAAUCGUGGAUCAGCAUGUCUCGGUGAAUACGUUCCCGGGUCUUGUACACACCGCCCGUCACACCAUGGGAGUGGAAUCCGCCAGAAGUAGUUAGCCUAACCGCAAGGAGGGCGAUUACCACGGUAGGUUUCAUGACUGGGGUG